CCGGGCAGGGUCCAAACGUCUCACGUAGGCGGCGGCGCCGAGGUCUUCGGGGUCACCGGGAAGAGAAGGGCUCGCUCUGGGAGGGUGGACGCAGAGAGGCCUCCCGAGGGCGUAGGACGCCCCGCCGCGCCCCAGCGGCUCCGAGGACUCACCUGCAUCGCCGAGAACACUUAGAGUGCCCUGGAGUGGCGGGGGGUGUUGGCCCGGGGCCCCAGCAACUCGGGGCUCGACCUCCUAGUUAGUGAAGUAGGGAUGGGGCUGCCCGUCAAGAUUGGAGUAGCAGGACCGCAUCGACCUCGGUAAGGAAAAGAAAGCACACCGCUCCGUCCUCUGGAGAGCGGAGCAGCCCUCACGUUGUCUCCCUUAAUGCCCGGUAGUAGUCUGACUUUACAGGCGAAGGUAGGACUUACCCAAAGCCACAGGGUUCACAUGGCAGAGGCUGCCCAGCUGUACUGCUCCACAUUCCGUGUGCUUUGCCCUGCAUCACGUUCCCCCCCGCCAAAAUCACCCUGGUGUAACUGAUAGGAGACGCCACCCUCCCCUUUCUGCACCCAUAAGUAAGAUGCUGCAGGGUUACAGAGGGCAGUGGAAGAUGUUCCUCUUCCCCUUGAAGAGUAAGGAAUAAGACAGAUAAAACAGCUUUAAUAAAAGACAAAGCAUGGUAGGUGUCACUUAAAAGUACAAAGGGCGCUGCAGAGGAUCAAAGAACCGCUCAUACCCGUGUUGGGGACCCGGGAAUGCAAAGCAUUGGGAUUGACCUUGAAGGAGACAGGAUUUUUACAGCUAGAGCAUGAGAACAUAGAUGAUGGCAAAUCAAUGAAAGUUUUGUCCCAGAAAGAGAGAAGACUCCGGGGUGUCUUGAGAAGUGGCAGAGACAAAGGAGAAUGGGGCCUCAGAUGUUCAAUGGAUGAAUCUAUUCAGUCUUUUGAGUUUUCAUGGCUUAAAAAUAUUGGGGAAGAAAUGGAAGAUUUUUGUUCGUACUGUUGAUCUCUCUGGGAAGGGAUGCAGAAAUCAAAGGUGGAAAAACCGACAGACUCACAAUAGGCCAUGUAAAAGGUAAUGGUGAGUCUGACCUAAAGGGAAGGCAGGAGGAAAUGAAGAGCGUGGUGAAGAGAUGAUGUGGAGGCAGAAUCUAUAGAAUUUACAAAUGACUGAGUAAUUGGGGGUAGGAAGGGGGAAAUUGGAGAUUUGAGUCUCUAGAUAAUUACAAGAGAAAGAAAAGAGAUAAGUAUAAGAGAAAGAAGGAGCUGCUGCUUGAGAGAAGAUGAUCAGUCUGGGUUUGAACACUUACGGAUUUUAAAAAUUGUCAGGACAGCCAGAUAGACGUAGAUACUGAGAAGUUAGAAAGGUUUUGGGGGCCAGGCAGUGGCACAGUAGUAAAACAUGAUGCUCUGCUAGGCUGACCCACAUGGAAAGGUUGGUUUACCUCUAGAGACCUCUGUGAGUAUGCCAGGGACGCCUGUGUGACCAUCCGCUGAGGCUAGGGGUGGUUUGUGCUGUCAAGCUCCUGUCGGGGGUGCUCUCUGACUCUUACUCAGGAAGUAAUAAAUAAACAUUAAAAAAAAAAAGUAAUAAAGCUUUUGAGAUAUGGCAGAGGACUGAACUAGAACAUAGAUUAGGAAAUAGCCUAACAGUAAUGUCACUGUGAAUGAAAAGAGGAAAACAAAGGACAGAACUUUGAAAAACAUCUUUAGAAUCUUGCUACUCAAAAAGUGGUCAAUGGAACAGCAGCACUGGCAUGAUCCAGACAGAGGUUUAUUAGGAAGGCAGCAUCUCAGACUCCUUCCAGGCCUGCUGAGUCAGCAUCUUCCAUUUACUAAGUACCCCAAGAGAGUUCCACCACAUCAAAGUUUGAGAAGCUCUGAUCUAGAUGACAGAAGCCAAUAAAAAAAAAAAAGGAGGAGGAAGUGGAAAAUGAGUCAGGAUAAUGAAGAAUCAUCAAAACAAGCUCUGAGUAUGCAGAUGACUACAAGCCCAUGGGGUUGGCAGAGCCACAAGGAAGAAGAGGCCUGGAUGGAGGAGAGGUGCCCCCUGAGCUGGAACGCCCAGGUGGUGGCCUUCGCUCAGCACUUGGCUGCUCAGGUCCUGGGUGCUUGGAUCUACAUAGACAAAAUACGCCUUCCCGUUGACAGAUACUUCCAAACUAAGAAGAGUGAGCUCCCCUCUGAUGCCUAUGAAUGUGAGCCACCAAGGAGCUGAUUUUUAGCAACGGGACCAAGGAAUUCCACUCCUAAUGGGCUGGCAACUACGAGAAGGAAGUCUUAAGUCUUUAAGGCAGGGUGACAGUUUGGCUCUUGUGUGAGCCUGUCAGGGUCAACAGCAACAGAGAAAAAGACAAAAGGAAAAAGCAGUACCAUAGAAGAAAAAACAGAUUCAGCAGUUUUUAGGUCACUUGGUUUCCUAGAUACUUCGAUGGAGUCAGCAGUCAUUGAGCUAACCCCGACUCCAAGACUGGAG